rnacentral:lncRNA from 1 species
GUUCCAGGCAGUGCCCAGGCUCCUCAGCUGUGCUGAUGUCUGUCCUUGCAGUGACUUCACCUUCACUAUUUCCGUACCAUCUUCAGCCUGCAACACACAGGGCAGCUGCUGUCUGUGGGCAAAAAGUGAAGGACGGAGCAGACAUGGGGCAAUUUUUCCAUGUGCUGCCCAUGAGCAGCCAGGUGCUAACACCUCCCCAGGCUGCCUCUUCUUCACUGGCCGCACUCUGCCUGUCCUCGUUGCAGGGACUUCAUGCCGACCGCUGAAGGCCAUCAUCUUCCUGGACUCGGACAAUGCUUCUAGGGCAAAACUGCACAAACCCCUAAGGAUUCUAGGUUAAAUCAUUUUGCAAACUCUUUCAGGCUUCCUGAAAUAUUUUGGUCCCUUCCAGCCCUCCUUCCCCCACAAUAAUUUUUUCACCUAUUAAGCUUGACAUAAAACAUUUUUUUUCCAUUUCUCAAUGAGGUUUAAUUGCAAAACAGUGUGCGGUGCUAUACAACAUCGGGGUGCUUUUUUUUUUUUUUUUUUUUUUAAUUUUUUGUGCAUUACUGGUAAAAUGCAAGGAGGCGAGACAGGACAAAUCACAGGUUACUGAUCAUAGCACAGACUGCUACAAACCAGAUGUAGCUCUUAGCUGCUCUACCAGGGGGCAUUACAGGCAGUUCUCAAGUAUGCAGAAUGAACAGCACUGUGGACAAGUACUGCCAAAAUGCUGGAACAGAAAUACUCUGAGCUGUUACAGCAGUGAUCUGUGAGUUCAUCACACCUGAAGCGCUUCUGAUCAUGUCACAAAUGACCUAAAAUACCCACUGGUCCAUUAGACCCAGGGAUGAGCCAGCCACUCCACCUCCUGCCUAUUUACCCUCUACUCAUUCCUCAGACUUGCCAAGAAAGGCACAAAGCAAAUGAGUCUGUCAAGGCACCGACUAGGAUGAGAGGUGAAUCCAACUGCUAAAUCCAUAAACCUCUGCAAGUCUGGUGUGAACAAUGAUCUCUGCAGCCCAGCAAGGGAUUUUAGCCAGUGACCUUCCCAGAAGAAGAGUGCCACGUCCAUCAUAAUGUUAACAUCGGGAACCAGCUACGCACCUGGGUGGUGCAG